AAUCAACGCUGGCGGCGUGCCUCAGACAUGCAAGUCGAACGCGAAAGUCCCCCUUCGGGGGGCAAGUAGAGUGGCGCACGGGUGAGUAACACGUAGGUAAUCUACCUUUGGAUGGGGAAUAACAACCGGAAACGGUUGCUAAUACCGCAUAAUGCAGCGGCACCUAAUGGUGACAGUUGUUAAAGCGGGGGAUCGAAAGACCUCGCGUCUGAAGAGGAGCCUGCGGCGGAUUAGCUAGNGGUAAGGUAACGGCUUACCAAGGCAACGAUCCGUAGCCGGCCUGAGAGGGCGGUCGGCCACACUGACACUGACAUACGGGUCAGACUCCUACGGGAGGCAGCAGUCGGGAAUUUUGGGCAAUGGGCGAAAGCCUGACCCAGCAACGCCGCGUGAAGGAUGAAAUCCCUCGGGA
rnacentral:rRNA from 1 species